rnacentral:misc_RNA from 1 species
AGCGAGCAUCACCAUUUCCAGACUUCGGCACUGCUAUAUACCUACAAUCAAAAUGAAGUAUCCUAUAGUCGCCUUUCUAUUGUCGCUUUUUUUCGUGGCAGCCUGUGCAUAUGUAGAGCACAGCAUAAUAUCUCACACUACACCAGUGGAAUAUCACUUCUUCCAAGAUGAAAUUACUUGGCAUGAAGCACAAACCCACUGCAAGUCAAUUGGCGGGGACUUGGUUAGAAUAUACGACCAGGCAACGAACGAUUUGAUUAUAGCGCAUAUCAUUGCAUCAGAUAUUGGAGCAAACAUUGAUAGUGGAUUUUGGAUCGGUUACAAUGACCAAAAAGUAGAAGGAACCUUUGAGUGGGUAUCUGGUUUCGUUUGCCCAUAUGAAAACUGGGGUGCCGGUGAGCCAAACAACAACGAAAAUCUUGAUCCCAGUGGACAAGAUUGUGUACAACUAAGGAAAGAUACUACACAGUGGGAUGACGAAUACUGCGGAGAAAUUAGAGACAAAGCGUUUAUUUGCGAGGUGGAAGUUUGUUAGGCUACCUUGACCACCAACAAAGCACACGUAGAUGAGCACAGAAGUACAGCGUUAAAAUGAAUUCCUCAUAUGAGUAAUUCACUGUUACAUGAACUAUCAAUAAAGAAAACUCUAGUUAAAGAA